CCUACGGGUGGCUGCAGUGGGGAAUAUUGCACAAUGGGCGCAAGCCUGAUGCAGCCAUGCCGCGUGUGUGAAGAAGGCCUUCGGGUUGUAAAGCACUUUCAGCGGGGAGGAAGGCGGUGAGGUUAAUAACCUCAUCGAUUGACGUUUCCCGCAGAAGAAGCACCGGCUAACUCCGUGCCAGCAGCCGCGGUAAUACGGAGGGUGCAAGCGUUAAUCGGAAUUACUGGGCGUAAAGCGCACGCAGGCGGUCUGUCAAGUCGGAUGUGAAAUCCCCGGGCUCAACCUGGGAACUGCAUUCGAAACUGGCAGGCUAGAGUCUUGUAGAGGGGGGUAGAAUUCCAGGUGUAGCGGUGAAAUGCGUAGAGAUCUGGAGGAAUACCGGUGGCGAAGGCGGCCCCCUGGACAAAGACUGACGCUCAGGUGCGAAAGCGUGGGGAGCAAACAGGAUUAGAUACCCUAGUAGUC
rnacentral:rRNA from 1 species